UGGUAGAGCACCUCAAUGGCAUUGAGGGGGUCAGCGGUUCGAAUCCGCUUAGCUCCA
rnacentral:tRNA from 1 species